UUAGCAGCUAAGGCAGUUUGUGACAAGGGUGCUUUUGUGUUCCCAGUCCUUGGAUCUUGUUAGGGACACCCACUGGGGUCUCCCUGUUCAAUGCUGACACAAGAUGGAUGGCAGCAAGUCAAGAUCCCUGAAAGGAGGCUGUGGUGAGGUGGGGUGUUGGCCUCUUCUCUCAGAUAACUGUAAUAGGACAAGAGAAUCGUGAAGAUGAAAAUGGGGAAGGCCUGGCCGCACGAGAGCCGCACGUGGGCCUCCCGCCCUGCCUGCGCCAAGGGCCGCUCGCUGGACCUGGCAGCACUCCUGGAUGGGCUUCUUCCAACAAGCUCCUCUGCAGCACCCGCUGCCACGGCCAAAUUCAGGCUUUAUUUCCUCCAUGGACUUUCACUACUUCUUGGGCUUCCCUCAUAGCCCUCUUCCUUCCUCUGAUGUUGCGUCUAGGAGGUUGGGUUCCCGCUGCUAUGCUUCUCCACUCCCUUCUUUAGAGAUGCCAUCCUCAGAUGCCGCUUCUUCAAGCCUGGCUUUUCUUUCAUUCUUCCCACACUGUACUGGGCUCUGGGUUGUGUGGAGAAAGGAAACAUUUGCCUCUGGAGACCCAGUCACUGCUGGGCAGCUCAGGGGAAAUGUCUGUGGAUGAAAACCUGGUGUCAGCAGUUGUGGCUUGGAGUGGGUUGCAGCAUCUACCUGAGCUGGCUUGGCAGCCCAGAAGUUUUACAUAAUCGUGUUUUAAGACGUUUUUAAGUGCAGAAUGACAUUUUGAGGCUGGACCAGAAGCGAUAAAGGCAAUGACAAAAAUAAUGAGUGCAUUAAGGUGACCAGAUUAUGCAUUCGUGUGUGGGGAAAAAUAAGCAGAAGGUCAUGCAAAAAUGUGAUUCUCCCAUGUCGCUCAGCAGCUCAGUCCUCACUGCCAGCAGAAGCUGCCUUAUUGCAAGCAGCACAGCUGCCAGCACAAGGAGACCUGGGAAGCAAAGCCAACAGGUGCUCACUUCAAGGAGUUGCAUGUUCACCAACUGAGGAGAAUUGUAAUGUGCUGCUAAAUAACCUCAAAGCAGGUUUGCUGAGUGUAAUGUGUCUCUUCUAUCUUCUGUCUCCUUUCACAUCAUGGGCACUGUGCACUUGUUGGAGGGAAAUGCCACCUGUGGCUCUGCCUGUCCUCGAACAGGCCAAUAGUCAGUCCCACCUGCAUCCAAUCCCCAUGCAUGGGACCUCCUAAAGCUAUGACUGGGCUCCAUCUGUGUGCACACGUGCUGCACUUAACCCGUCCUUUGGCAAUGUCACUGACAUCAGCCCAAUUACACCAGCCAUGAAUUGGACCCUGUUUACACUCUGAAACUUCCAUAGCUUACAGCCAAAGUUCAGACUGUUAUACAAUGAAACCAUUCACACGUCUCAUUAACUCUGCACUAUGCACUGAAAAUAACCAUGCCACGUGAUUCUGUGAUUUUCUCAGUUUAUAUCAUUUAUAAGUGCUUUUUCCUCUUCAUAACAGCAACUCUCAAUAUUGGAAACAUUUUAGGCUGUCGAUGUAGCAAAAGUGCUUUGUAGAGCACAAAACAGUAACUUCUUGGUGUUGUAUUAAUUGUCUUCGUCUUAAAUAAUACAAUCCAUGAAGGUAUUUUAAACCCAAGCUCAAAGACGUAGGCAUGUGGCCAACUGCUCUGAGACACCAGUGCGCCCGUGGUUGUAUAUUUUAUACUUUUUGAACUUUAUUUUUAUUCAUUUCUAAUUUAUAGUGGCAGUAAAGCACAAUCCAAGUUUCUGAGUAAGCAAAGUGUACAAGCACUUGGAAUUUAAUAAGGUUAUACUGUUGCCUACACAUGGGAAGACACAAGAGUCUUCUGCUCAUAUGAUUUAUAUUACUGUAUUUUCUCUGCUGAGUGCCAGCAACGAGCCUUGUGUUGUACAUGACUGUGCUCUUGUAUAAAGGUUUGUAUAACAGAUCCAGCACAUGAAUAUCUGGAAAUCACAAAGCGCUUGCAAAGUAAAGCACAUGUUUCCAGCCUUGAGAGGCACAAUAGAGGGAUUGCUGCAGAGAUGGCUCUGGGGGGUUGGUUUUGGUUUGUGCUGCAGGGAAGAAGAAAUGGUGGAUGCUAGAGCUCAAAACCUAUUCCAAAAGAGGCAGAGGUAUAAUAAGUCCCACAAAACAAAGCAGAGAGAUGGGCUGGGCCAGGAUAAAGAAACAAAUGAGCUGCCAAGGCUGGUAUUAACAAUGGAGUGUAGCACAGAGAAAUGUGGACGAGCAAACCUUUCACUGGGUGCUGAAAGGGAGGAUGUGAGAUGGCCACAAGUGUGUGUGAGGAAGGAUGCACAGGUGGAUGAUGCAUUUAGAGCAAUGUCAGUGUAAGCAAAGCCUUGUUGGCAAUCAUUUCAUCCAUCUGCAAAAGUAACGUGGGAAGUCAUGAAAAAGAGACUGUUGGCAGCUCAGUAUGAGAGGACAUACCUUGAAGUAGCGUCAGGUCAGAGGCAUGUUAGGGCAGAGGAUGUCUCAGGUGCUUGUGACUGUAUGGCAUGGAAGAAGGGCAUAUGUUUGAUCACAGGUUAGAUAUGUUUGGGAGAAAAAAAAAAACAGAGAGAGCUGUUCACAGAUCCUGAGCCUAGGGCAAAUAGAAAUAUUGCUAGAAGUAAGUAAAAGGAGCCUAUUUCAUAUUGCUAGAAGGAAGUAAAAAGGAAAAGGGUUUGGGAGGAAAAAUUAGAGACCUCCUGUUCAUCUGUGCUCAACUCAAAUCCCUGGCGACCCAUCCUUGAGCAAUGUGUCAGAGACAGACUGAAAGAAAGAAUGGAACAAGAGGCAGGUGGGGAAGCAGAUUUGUAAGCUGUCAUCAGCAAAACAGCAGAUACAGCUCAGAGGAGAUGGGGUGGCCUCCUCAGCAUGCAGCUUCUAUUCUCUCCAUCCAUAUCUUGCUCUGUUGCAAUGAGCAUUCAUCUUGCUAUAAGUAAGAAUAAUAACUUAAAGAGAAAGUCCCUCCUUUGGCUGCUCAUCAUUUCACCCCUCCUGAAGCUAAACUAUUUUUAUGUGACUGAUGAUUGAUUUCUUUUCGAGAAAAACAGUCCCAAAAUGUGGUGCACAAUUAUUGCUGCAGCAAAUCUUCUGGCGUUCAUUUCCCAUCAUCCAUUGACAUCCACAAUCACUCCCACUCCUUGAACAAAGAAAGGAGAUGGGCAGAUGGAGACAUUCAGCAGAAUUUAGGUCUGUUUUCAGGUCUAAAUCGUGAAGUACUUCAGUAAUGGUUUUGAUGUAUUCAAUAAAACCUGUACCUAUAUAUGUUAUGCAAGGAUCAAAGCCCUGCAAUGAGGCUACGUUGUACUUUUCCAUCUGUUUCAAAACUCCCUCACUAAGGUACAUGGCUGAAGAGGUCACCUGUGUUUGAUUUGGGAAUUAUAAAGUUUGUUCAUGAAUUAACUCGGAAGGCAAGCCUACAAACGAAACAGAGAGGGCUUGAAACAUAGGUCUGCUUGUAAAAUGCAUGUUGAAAAGCCAUUUUGAAAGACAUCCUAAAAUCUGCUCUUAUCUUGUUGCCAAGUCAUCAGUGGUUUGACCCACAUAUCAGAACUUUCCUUAAAAAAUAAUAAUUCAAAAAAACUUCAGAAGAAUCUAUUUACGCAGGAAAAGGUCUUUCAAAACAGCUGCACAGGGGCCAGGAUCAACAUCUGAACACGGGCUGAGUUGUUACAUAUUUAGAAUUAUUCCUUUCAUUAGAGGCAUGAGGGCUAUCUCAGGCAUCCUGGGGACUGAUUUGGAGUUGAGACGUCCUAAAGCAGUGACUGCCUCGCUGGGUCAAAUCCUGCUUCUGUACAUGCAAAGCUUCUAAUUCCAUCUCAUUUCCACACUUGCUGCCACUCAGGACUCUAUUAAGGUGAACCCACCAUUUCCAGUGCCACUCUGGUGUGGCUGUAGUGGCUGCACUGCUGAACUGGUAUGAUUCAGAUCUUCUGCAAGGAGAUGAAACCCACUUGGAGGACCACCAAACUUUUUUCUGUCUGAUGUUUGCCUUUCCAUUCAUGCAGUGAGCAGACACAUGGAGAAAACAGUGAUUGCUCCAACGAGAUGCCUGGGGUUGGGUGCCUUGUGUGUGCCAACUCUUGCUGAGCUCUGAGCAAUUAGGUAGCAAUGAAGCAUCAAGGUGAGGAAAAGCACAAACUAUUGGGAACAAAGAAAACAUGACCUUAAGCAGAAGGAUUGCAGAGUGAGGGCAAUGGAGGCUGGUGCCAGAGUGAACGGGAGUCUGCAGAGAAACACUUUGAGAGCGUGCAGUGGGAUUGCACUGCAGGAUGUCAGAACGAAGAAUUUUUCUUUAUUGUUUCAAAAAGGAUUUUUUUUUUUAAUGACAGAAACAUCUGGGUCAGAAAAUGUAGCAGGCUGAAAUAAAGCAUUUUGCUUCGUUUUGUUCUCUCUCCACUCAUUCGUGCACUUUCUGCGUUCCUUCCCAUGCAGGGCCUCAAUGUUAUCAAUGCACUCACAGAGAUGCUGCUGAUGUGGAAACAACGUGGAAUUACAUACAGUACUUUUGCAGAUAGAUCAUUUCAGCUGCAUCUUUCACAAAGCACAGCCAAGGAGACAGGUGUUUUAUCACUGUGUUGAGGGAGACAGAUGACCCCAAUCUAAACUUGCAUGCUCACCACUGGUGCAUCUGUCUUGUAUCUAGGCAGCAAAUCCUCACAGAGACCCUUGAGAAGGUUGAAAUAGCCUUCCCAUAAGCUCGUCUCCAUGCCCCAGGAGUGCUGAUUGCACUUUCCUUGGGAAGGGCUUUAUCUGGACCUAAGAACUCAUACUUAAUGGGCAAGUGCUUGCAGCACAUACCUUUCCCUCGGGGACCUUCCUUCAGUGUGUUUGGUUCCUGAAGGAAAGACAACCAAAACUUGCAAACACUUUGUGCCAAGGUGCAAGAAAGCAACAAGGAAGAGCACUAUGAAAGCUUUGCCAGAUGGGAAAGCUCUUCAUCACGCUCUUCACCAAGAGCUCAAGUAAAUUUUCAGCCGCGUGGGAAGAAAACUUCCCUGAUGUGAAGCAAUUGUGAACAAGGCUCCAUAAUGUGAUGCAUUGCCCGAAAUAAGAAUGCUGAGCCCUGCUUCUGAUCCUGGACAUAGCAGCAUAGAAUGGGAACAAUGUGAUCAAAGCCACAAGAACAGCAGGGCCAUCAGGAACACCUGGUAAUAUGCACUAAUGAAAUCUGGACCAAAUGGGUUUGAGACACCUCCCAUUUGCUGCUAUUUCAGUCUGUGAAGGGAUAGCCAGCUGCUAUGGAGAUGUUCCUGAAAUGCCUGCAGGAACUAUAGCCACAGUCCCUGGUGAGAGACCCUAUGGAGCGCAGUGCUGUUUGCACAGGUUUUGAAGCAUUCAAGCACAGAACAGCUUACCGUAAAGCAUCUAAUGAGAUCAAGGAUUUGCCCAUUUGCUCUCACUUAGGAAAAGCUGAU
ensembl:lncRNA